UUCCGGCCACAUCACGUUGAAACACCAGUUCGUGUAUGAUCACAGAAGUUAAGCAACGUCGAGCCUGGUUAGUAGCGAGAUGGGUGACCACUUGGGAAUAGCAGGAGUUGUAA